GACGUUUACAAUACACGACAUGUAAGACAGUUUGGCCGAGUGGUCUAAGGCGCCAGAUUUAGGCUCUGGUCCGAAAGGGCGUGGGUUCAAAUCCCACAG